rnacentral:rRNA from 1 species
CACGUAGGGCGCGAGCGUUGUCCGGAAUUAUUGGGCGUAAAGAGCUCGUAGGCGGCCUGUUGCGUCCGCUGUGAAAGCCCGGGGCUUAACCCCGGGUCGGCAGUGGAUACGGGCAGGCUAGAGGUAGGUAGGGGAGAAUGGAAUUCCCGGUGUAGCGGUGAAAUGCGCAGAUAUCGGGAGGAACACCGGUGGCGAAGGCAGGUCUCUGGGCCACUACUGACGCUGAGAAGCGAAAGCAUGGGGAGCGAACAGG